rnacentral:rRNA from 1 species
AUUGAACGCUGGCGGAAUGCUUUACACAUGCAAGUCGAGCGGCAGCACGGGGGCAACCCUGGUGGCGAGCGGCGAACGGGUGAGUAAUACAUCGGAACAUGCCCAGUCGUGGGGGAUAACACUUCGAAAGAAGUGCUAAUACCGCAUACGUCCUGAGGGAGAAAGCGGGGGAUCUUCGGACCUCGCGCGAUUGGAGUGGCCGAUGUCAGAUUAGCUAGUUGGUGGGGUAAAGGCCUACCAAGGCAACGAUCUGUAGCUGGUCUGAGAGGAUGAUCAGCCACACUGGGACUGGAACACGGCCCAGACUCCUACGGGAGGCAGCAGUGGGGAAUAUUGGACAAUGGGCGGAAGCCUGAUCCAGCCAUGCCGCGUGUGUGAAGAAGGCCUUUUGGUUGUAAAGCACUUUAAGCGAGGAGGAGGCUACUAGUACUAAUACUACUGGAUAGUGGACGUUACUCGCAGAAUAAGCACCGGCUAACUCUGUGCCAGCCGCCGCAGUAAGAC